GCGGCGGACGGGUGAGUAACACGUGGAUAACCUACCUAUAAGACUGGGAUAAACUUCGGGAAACCGGAGCUAAUACCGGAUAAUAUUUUGAACCGCAUGGUUUCAAAAGUGAAAGACGGUCUUGCUGUCACUUAUAGAUGGAUCCGCGCUGCAUUAGCUAGUUGGUAAGGUAACGGCUUACCAAGGCAACGAUGCAUAGCCGACCUGAGAGGGUGAUCGGCCACACUGGAACUGAGACACGGUCCAGACUCCUACGGGAGGCAGCAGUAGGGAAUCUUCCGCAAUGGGCGAAAGCCUGACGGAGCAACGCCGCGUGAGUGAUGAAGGUCUUCGGAUCGUAAAACUCUGUUAUUAGGGAAGAACAUAUGUGUAAGUAACUGUGCACAUCUUGACGGUACCUAAUCAGAAAGCCACGGCUAACUACGUGCCAGCAGCCGCGGUAAUACGUAGGUGGCAAGCGUUAUCCGGAAUUAUUGGGCGUAAAGCGCGCGUAGGCGGUUUUUUAAGUCUGAUGUGAAAGCCCACGGCUCAACCGUGGAGGGUCAUUGGAAACUGGAAAACUUGAGUGCAGAAGAGGAAAGUGGAAUUCCAUGUGUAGCGGUGAAAUGCGCAGAGAUAUGGAGGAACACCAGUGGCGAAGGCGACUUUCUGGUCUGUAACUGACGCUGAUGUGCGAAAGCGUGGGGAUCAAACAGGAUUAGAUACCCUGGUAGUCCACGCCGUAAACGAUGAGUGCUAAGUGUUAGGGGGUUUCCGCCCCUUAGUGCUGCAGCUAACGCAUUAAGCACUCCGCCUGGGGAGUACGACCGCAAGGUUGAAACUCAAAGGAAUUGACGGGGACCCGCACAAGCGGUGGAGCAUGUGGUUUAAUUCGAAGCAACGCGAAGAACCUUACCAAAUCUUGACAUCCUUUGACAACUCUAGAGAUAGAGCUUUCCCCUUCGGGGGACAAAGUGACAGGUGGUGCAUGGUUGUCGUCAGCUCGUGUCGUGAGAUGUUGGGUUAAGUCCCGCAACGAGCGCAACCCUUAAGCUUAGUUGCCAUCAUUAAGUUGGGCACUCUAAGUUGACUGCCGGUGACAAACCGGAGGAAGGUGGGGAUGACGUCAAAUCAUCAUGCCCCUUAUGAUUUGGGCUACACACGUGCUACAAUGGACAAUACAAAGGGCAGCGAAACCGCGAGGUCAAGCAAAUCCCAUAAAGUUGUUCUCAGUUCGGAUUGUAGUCUGCAACUCGACUACAUGAAGCUGGAAUCGCUAGUAAUCGUAGAUCAGCAUGCUACGGUGAAUACGUUCCCGGGUCUUGUA
rnacentral:rRNA from 1 species